UAGGGAAUCUUCCGCAAUGGACGCAAGUCUGACGGAGCAACGCCGCGUGAGUGAAGAAGGAUUUCGGUUCGUAAAACUCUGUUGUAAGAGAAGAACAGCGCAUAGAGUAACUGUUAUGCGUGUGACGGUAUCUAACCAGAAAGCCACGGCUAACUACGUGCCAGCAGCCGCGGUAAUACGUAGGUGGCAAGCGUUGUCCGGAUUUAUUGGGCGUAAAGCGAGCGCAGGCGGUUAGAAAAGUCUGAAGUGAAAGGCAGUGGCUCAACCAUUGUAGGCUUUGGAAACUGUUUAACUUGAGUGCAGAAGGGGAGAGUGGAAUUCCAUGUGUAGCGGUGAAAUGCGUAGAUAUAUGGAGGAACACCGGUGGCGAAAGCGGCUCUCUGGUCUGUAACUGACGCUGAGGCUCGAAAGCGUGGGGAGCGAACAGG
rnacentral:rRNA from 1 species